rnacentral:rRNA from 1 species
AGCAGCCGCGGUAAUUCCAGCUCCAAUAGCGUAUAUUAAAGUUGUUGCAGUUAAAAAGCUCGUAGUUGAAUUUCAGGCCUGGCUGGGCGGUCCGCCUUUUGGGUGAGUACUGCCUGUGGUCGGGUCCUACCUUCUGGCGAAGCGUCAUGGCCUUAACCGGCCGUGGCGGGGAACCAGGACUUUUACUGUGAAAAAAUUAGAGUGUUCAAAGCAGGCAGUCGCUUGAAUACAUUAGCAUGGAAUAAUGGAAUAGGACAGUGGUUCUAUUUGUUGGUUUCUAGGACCGUUGUAAUGAUUAAUAGGGAUAGUUGGGGGCAUUAGUAUUCAAUUGUCAGAGGUGAAAUUCUUGGAUUUAUUGAAGACUAACUACUGCGAAAGCAUUUGCCAAGGAUGUUUUAUUAAUCAAGAACGAAAGUUAGGGGAUCGAAGACGAUCAGAUACCGUCGUAGUCUUAACCAUAAACUAUGCCGACUAGGAAUCGGGCGAUGUUGACAAAAUGACGCGCUCGGCACCUCAUGGG